rnacentral:rRNA from 1 species
CACGUAGGGGGCAAGCGUUGUUCGGAAUUAUUGGGCGUAAAGGGCAUGUAGGCGGUUUGGUAAGCCUGAUGUGAAAUCCUGCAGCUUAACUGUAGAAUUGCAUUGGGUACUGCCGAACUUGAAUCACUGAGGGGAAACUAGAAUUCCAGGUGUAGGGGUGGAAUCUGUAGAUAUCUGGAAGAAUACCGGUGGCGAAGGCGGGUUUCUAGCAGAUGAUUGACGCUGAGGUGCGAAAGUGCGGGGAGCGAACAGGAUUAGAUACCCUGGUAGUCCGCACCGUAAACGAUGUACACUAGGUGUCGGGGCAUGAGUCUCGGUGCCAAAGCUAACGUAAUAAGUGUACCGCCUGGGAAGUAUGCCCGCAAGGGUGAA